AAGUCGUAACAAGGUUUCCGUAGGUGAACCUGCGGAAGGAUCAUUGCCACACACGAUCCAAGAUCGACACUUUUUGUGAACCGUAAAUGUGAAUGUAUUGACACAGCGAUACCUUUUUUGAGGUUCGCACCGUGUUGAUACCCCCCCUUUACACACCACAUAUACCAAAAAUGAAUUAUGCAUUGGAACUGAAAAUGUUAUGGCAAGUUCGUCUUGACAUAGCGCUAGAUUGAAAAUUGUAAACAACUUUUAACAACGGAUAUCUAGGUUCUU
rnacentral:misc_RNA from 1 species